GUAAUGAUAUUACUUGGCAUAGGGGAAGGGAAGUGGUUUCUCUCUGUCGAGGAGGACAAACAGAGAUAGAGGAGGCAGAUGUGAUAUGCUUGGCAUUAUGCUGUGAGGAUAGAGGGCCAUGGAUCUGGAUGUGGAGAUUGUGAAAGUCCAUGUGACGUUCGUGUCAAGAUGAGCGGCCGUUCCUGCUGACAUUGUGUCAACUAGAUGAAUUUUAGGUGCUCUUUUGUCAGAGACCGCUUGAUGGUUUGGUUGGGACU